GGACCCAAAUGACUUCUGCUCAUAUCAGCCACUUCGAACACGUGAGAGGACCCAAUGACUUCUGCUCAUUUCCUCCCACAAGCUGAAGCUUCUGUAACCUAUCCCAUAACCCCCUUUAAGUGUUACCCAGCCCCAAUCCUCAAAUUCUCUUUUGUUAGCACUUCUUUGCCCUUUUCCAUGUUCUUUAAAAUUAGUCACAUGAAGUAUUAAUAUCUCGGUACUCUAUUGCCAUUUGCAGAACACAGUGCCAGACCUUCAGAGUCCAGAAAAUGGAACUUCUUAACCUAACCUAUUUGAAAGAACAUUAUUUAGCCAAGCAACAAGGAACCACUGAUUGUUUUGGAGCUGAAUAAUAUGUUGACAAGGAUAUACAGGAAAAUGACGUAUAUAUUGAUGUUCAACUACUCAAAAAUCUAUGCUAACUUUUUAAGUUGGGAUAAUAAAGAAACCCCUGUGGGUUAGCCGGCCAAUCUCAAGUUGGUACACAGAUCUUGGAACUCGUGGGAGAAUGGGCCCGCCCCUCUAACCUCCCUCCUACUUUUAGUUAGCUGAGUCAAAUUCGUGACAUCUACCUACCAUUUCCGUGGUGUACUUUUACCAUAAACCAAAUCAAUGGAGGCAAUAAUCUAUGAUAAUUAGUUCGUGGAAUUUCGUUUUUAUUCUUCAUAGAUAAGUACAACCAAUUUGUAGAAGUUGAAAGCAAACAAGUGGGGAUGGUGGAGGAUGUUGGAGACUGAGUGAGUGACCAAGACAGGUACGAGAACAAACUAGAAACAGAUGAAUGGAAAAAUAAUAGUUGCAGGGUGACAGAGAACAAGAUUUGUGAUGGAGCAGCAAGAAGAAAUGAUUAAUGGAAGAAAAAGAGAUAGUCUUAAUGGGUCAAAUCGUUGACAUUUGUAAUCUUCAGAUUACUUUGCCAGCCCAGCCCAGCCGUCACUUCGUACUUCUGUUGUUCUGCAUGCCCACUCAUUGACAUUCCUAUAAAAAACCCUGAGUUACUUAUGCUAGGUUUUCUAGGAGGUAGGUUGCACCAUAGGAGACAAGAGGAGUUGCUCUAAUGGUAAGCAACCCCCACUUCCAACCGAGAAGUUAGAGUUUGAGUCUCCCCAAGUGCAAGGUGGGAAGUUCUUGGAGGGAAGGAUGCCGGGGGUCUAUUUUGAAACAGCCUCUCUACCCAAGGGUAGGGGUAAGGUCUUCUUGGAGGGAAGGAUGCCGGGGGUCUAUUUGGAAACAGACUCUCUACCCAAGGGUAGGGGUAAGGUCUGCUUACAUACUACUCUCCCCAGACCCCACUAAGUGAGAUUAUACUGGGUUGUUGUUGUUGUUGUUGUUGUAGUAGUAGGUUGCACCAUAGAGCCACUAGGGAGGUGAGUAGUACAAAAUACUAAUUCACUCCAGUCCGUACUCCAUGCCAUGCUUAAUAAUAAUUGAAUCUUAAAAAAGAGUCCAUAUCUAUAGAGCGUACAGAGAGGUCAAAUUCCUAUUCUUAUCUCUAUUUACACAUUAUCCAAAGAAGACACAACUGCGGCACAUCUUCCCAUUGCCCCGGGCAAUAAAAGAACGACUUUGAAGUUUGAAGGAUACUCGAUUAUCGAAUAAUUCUAGGUGGUAAUAAUUUUUAUUUUCAAACUACGUGUCUUUAAUUACACUAAUUUGUAAGGGCAUAUAAUCGAAGAAUUAAUCUCAACAGUUAACACCACAUUUGCUACUAAUCCUACUCUAUUAUAAACCAAUUUACAUCUUUGUUUGCAGACGACAUCUUUGUAUUUGUGAUGCUGAGAUGUCUUAACUAUAUGCAGCAGGUGUUUUUGUGGUUCCAAGCAGUAUCGGGAAUAGAGACAUAUUUUGCAGAAGGGUGAGAUUAUUCCAGUAGGAAAAGCAGACAGCAUUGCACAAUUAGCACAUCUGUUUAAUUGUAAAAUGGGACACCUUAUUUACAGAAGGGUGAGAUUAUUCCAGUAGGAAAAGCAGACAGCAUUGCACAAUUAGCACAUCUGUUUAAUUGUAAAAUGGGACACCUUUGGUGACUUAUUAGGAUUGCCCUUAGAGCAUAACAUAAAGACUGCAAAUUUGAGAACAAUAACAGAAAAAGUAGAGAAGAGGUUAGCAAGGUAGCAAAAGAGGUACCUGUCAUCAAAGAGAAUCCCAACAUAUCACAUGUCUCUUAUGCACACACUGUUUAUUAAGAUCUAAAAGUUUGAGAGGCUUCAAAGGAAGUUAAUGUGGAACAUCAUGGGGGAAUAAGACGACUUCAGUAGAAACAUCAAUUUUAAUGUUGAGAAGAGAAAUUUAAUUAGUUCUUCGGAAGCACAAGUAAUGUGGCAACGACAAACUGAGAGUUACAAGAACAACAACAAACCAGUAUAAUCCCAUUAGUUGGGUCUGGGGAGGGGAGUGUGUACGAAGACCUUACCCCUACCCUGGGGUAGAGAGACUGUUUCCAAUAGACCCUCGGCAUACUUCCCUCCAAGAAUUCCCACCUUUCUCUUGGGGUGAUUCGAACUCACAACUUCUUGAUUGGAAGUACAGGGUGCUGACCAUCAAAGCAAUCCACCUUGUCUUUGCAAAUAUCUAUAACAUAUGGAGCCAGAAGGAAACGACUACAUCUAUCAUAUCUACAGAGCAGAACAUGCCUAAGUUCUAUGGGACUUGAGGUUCAAAAGGAAUUUAUAAGACAGGAGAUAGUUAUAUUCUCAAACUUGAUGGAAUUACUCUAUAAGCAUGACAUAAGACAGGCAUAGUAGGACACUUGGAACAUGGAAGUGAACAGAAAGGCAAGCGGAUCUUUUCUGGUAAAGUUCUAUUAGGACAGACAGUUCUUAAAUCUAUCAAUUUGGAUUCACAGAAUAUUGAUAGAAGUAUGUUUUUUCACGCGGAUAACAACAAAAAAGGGUGCGAUUCUAAAUGGGAAGGAAGACAACAUGUGUCAACAGGUGCUUCAUGAGCAAACAAUCAGGAGAAAAUGUGGAUCACUUGCAACUGACUGCGCGUUUGCAUAUUAAGUAAAUAGAAAGAGAGAAACCUACUUCCGCUCGGUUGCUUAUGAUAGACCCAAGAGAGGCACUAAUAGAGUAUAGCAAGUUGCUCGUAAGAUAGCAAUAACUUGAUUACAAGCUUACCAACCAAUAGUUACAAUACCACAUUCAACCAGUCAUAUUGAUUUGAUUAGCUUACUGUUCGCGGCAAAUUUCGUGUACGGAAAUUAAUAGCUGCAAUCUUACAAUACCACAUUCCACCCGUCAUAUUGAUUUGAUUAGCUUACUGUUCGCGGCAAAUUUCGUGUACGGAAAUUAAUAGCUGCAAUCACGAAACAGAUAUAAAGAAAAUUCUUUUUUUUAAUAAAACUUGUGAGUACAACUCUAUGUACCCCUGAUUCUUGCCUCUAAUUUGUUUUCCUUGAUUCGAGGGCUGAAGCAGCAUAUUUCUCGAGCGCAGGUGAUGUGGACCUCGUUGUGAUUUACUUGAUCGUCAAGAAGAGUUAGUACCGCUUCGGAUUGAUCAUGAGGGACAACUUCUCUUGAUCACUCCUUAUUUUCUUCAAUUCAAGGGACAAUGUAGUGUAUUUCUCGAACGAAAGGAGUUCCUUUGUGAUGUGUUGAAUCUUCAAUGAACUUCCAUCGGCACUUCAGAUUGAUCUUGAGGAAGAACGCCUCGUGGAUCUCUCCUUACUUGUUAGAGAACCUUGGAGAAGACUAUUACGUUGAUCACUACAUGUGAUCGAUUUUAGCACUAGCACGGUUCGCUUCGGCCGUGUCAUUAGCGUCAAUGAUGAUCUUUCCAUCUCUCACCAACGUCAUGAUCUUCUCCUUUAAGA
rnacentral:lncRNA from 1 species